CCUACGGGAGGCAGCAGUGGGGAAUAUUGGACAAUGGGCGAAAGCCUGAUCCAGCCAUGCCGCGUGUGUGAAGAAGGUCUUCGGAUUGUAAAGCACUUUAAGUUGGGAGGAAGGGCAGUAAAUUAAUACUUUGCUGUUUUGACGUUACCGACAGAGUAAGCACCGGCUAACUCUGUGCCAGCAGCCGCGGUAAU
rnacentral:rRNA from 1 species